CCAGAAAGAAGAAACUUGCAUACUUACUCAUAGAAAAUAACCCUUUAACACGUAAGAGAGCAAACAAAUAAACACAUUCUAAAGUAUUGAGAUCACUGAAUCGAAAUGGAGUUGGUUAUUGGAUUAAAAGAACUCCUUAUACUAGAGAAAAUUAACUAAUGUAAUGCUAUCUAAUGAAUAUUGGAAAUGAUAAGAACAAUCAGAAUGCAAAGUUUGAAUAACCAAGCCUAAUGCUAGACUGAUUAUUACAAACAUAAGACAAAACAGAGACAACAUAUCGAAAGCAGAGGCAUGAAAUAACAACAUUACUAAAACAAACUGAUGAAAAGAGUCACGAAAACAAGAAACUUUAAGAUCAGGCGCAACCAGGAUGCAUACUAAUCAUAUAUAACUCAAAGUAUUUAUCAUAAUGAAAUUCUAAGCUACUAUUUAUAUGAAUAUUGACUAAAACAAAUCGACCAAUUUAACAUACAAGAGAAGCUAAACAUAAGGGCUAUCUCACAUAAACAAGAAUGAAGUAAUACUAGCAACCAACCUCUUUUCAACAAAUAUGAAUUUAAUGGUAAACAGAAAACAUAAACAAAGAACUAAAUAGUAUCUACGACAAACAAGAAAAUUAGCUGUUUUACUAAUUACUAAGACAUCAGAAUGGACAGCAAAACCAAAAACCAAAAUUACUAACAGAUACAACAACUAAACUGAUCUAAUCCAGUCAUUCAACACACAACGAAAUAAUAAAAAUAUUUAAAAGAAGAAAGAAUUACCUUUCACUGAGCAGCGAACUAAAAUGACGAGUUGAGAAGACGACUCCACCACCUCUUUCAACUAGAACAACUACAAAAAUUGAACUAUUGAACCAAGAUUUCCCAAACCUUUUAGGGCUACUCUCAGGUUUCCAAAAUUCGUCCCGUGAACAGUGAGCAAAAAGGGUAUUUAUAGAGCAUCUUCUAGGUCGAAUAUGAGGGGG
rnacentral:lncRNA from 1 species